CGCUGUCGCACCGGGGCCGCCGUUAACGCUCCGGGGGCGGAGCGGCGCGCGACAGGGCCGGCAGGGGGCCCGGUGCAGCCCCGGCCCGUCCGGUCCGUCCCGGAUCCGGUUGCGGCAGCGCCCGACGGGGGCUGCCGGGGGUCUCCGGCUCCGCUUCCCCCGCUUAGUACCGGGGAACCGGUGCAGGGCACACGGCGGCGGCGAUGGACGGCGGGGCGGCGGCAUGAGGCGGCGGAGGCGGCGGGGAGCAUGGCGGCGGCGGGCGGCGGCGGGGCGCGGCGGGGACUGCUGAAGCGGAAGCCGAACUUCACGCUGCAGGAGCUGGAGGUGCUGAUGAGCGAAGUGCUCCGAUACGAGCCGCUGCUGUUCGGCGCCGCCGCCGGUACCGUGAACGCGUACGAGAAGCAGAAGAUCUGGUGGCGGAUCACGCACAAGGUGAACGCCGCCGGCCGCCACCAGCGCGACAUCGGCGAGGUGAAGAACCGCUGGCGGGGGCUGCGCCGCCGCGCCGGGGACAAGAUCAGCCGGCACCGGCUGGAGCGGCAGGGCCCGGCCGGCAGGGCCGCCGCCAGGAACGGGAACACCGGGAGCACCGGGAAUAACGGGAGCAACGGGAACGGCGCGGCCGAGCCCGGAGCGGGGCCCGCCCCCGCCCCCGCCCCCGUCUGGGGUCCUCGCAGCGCCGCCGGAACCGAGCCUUCGAUGCGCAGCGCCGAGGGGUCGGCACAGCACGGUGUAAAGGAGGAGCCGGUAAAGGAGGAGCCUUUGGAGGUGAAGACUGAGCCCUUCCACGGUCCCGCUGCCGACGGCGCUCCCGGCCGCGGCUCAGACUGUCGGCUGCCCCGCACCGGCAUCUGCCCGCCCAGCGAGCUGUGCCAGGGCUGGAGCCGGAGCCCCCCGCGCUCCGCACCCUCCGAACUCCCCCUCGGCGACCUUCGCGGGCCGCAGGAGCCGCUGGGCUCCGACUUCCCGAGUCUGCUGUUGGAGCAGGAGGCCGAGCAGCUCAGUCACUGCGGCGCGGGAGAGGCGGGGCCCCCCGGGGGGCUGGACGGGACCCCCGAGCGCCCCCAGCUCAGCCUCGUGCAGUCCAACGAGCGGCUGGUGCAGGAGCUGCGGGCGUUCCGCCGGGAAUACGCCGAGAGCCGCCGGGAGACCGCGGCCGUGCUGCGCGGCAUCGCCCAGGCGCUGGGCGGGCUCAGCCGCAGCCUGGCCGAAAUCCGUGACCUCUACCUCCGGGAGCGGGGGGUCCCCGAAUCCUGAGCCUCCCACGCAGCUGGCUGUGUACACACACCCCAGAACCCACGUCGCUUGCUUUUAUUAUUAUUUCUUUUCCUGUCCAUCCCACUUCAAUAAAACUCGGAGCUUCUCCCCCA
rnacentral:lncRNA from 1 species